AUUAGCAGUGUCCUGACUUUAACAAAGCUUAAGCCAGUACCUGUGGACAUGGCCAGCAUACCUUCAGAAGAAUCUUACAGAAGUCUAUCUUAUGAAAUCACCAUGGUCUCCAUAUGUGGAGUUAUUUUACUGACGACCCUGAUUAUAACUGCAUUCAAAAUA